rnacentral:rRNA from 1 species
UACGGAGGAUGCGAGCGUUAUCCGGAUUUAUUGGGUUUAAAGGGAGCGUAGACGGGAUGUUAAGUCAGCUGUGAAAGUUUGGGGCUCAACCUUAAAAUUGCAGUUGAUACUGGCGUCCUUGAGUGCGGUUGAGGUAUGUGGAAUUCGUGGUGUAGCGGUGAAAUGCUUAGAUAUCACGAAGAACUCCGAUUGCGAAGGCAGCAUACUAAGCCGCUACUGACGUUGAGGCUCGAAAGUGUGGGUAUCAAACAGG